GCAUUGUUUGACGUUACCUACAGAAGAAGCACCGGCUAACUCCGUGCCAGCAGCCGCGGUAAUACGGAGGGUGCGAGCGUUAAUCGGAAUUACUGGGCGUAAAGCGCAUGCAGGCGGCUUGUUAAGCCAGAUGUGAAAGCCCGGGGCUCAACCUCGGAAUAGCAUUUGGAACUGGCAGGCUAGAGUCUUGUAGAGGGGGGUAGAAUUUCAGGUGUAGCGCUGAAAUGCGUAGAGAUCUGAAGGAAUACCGGUGGCGAAGGCGGCCCCCUGGACAAAGACUGACGCUCAGAUGCGAAAGCUUGGGGAGCAAACCGGAUUAGAUACCC
rnacentral:rRNA from 1 species